AAGAAAGAAAGAAAAAGAAAGAGAAAGAAAGAAAGAAAGAAGAAAAAAAUCUUCCUAUGUAAUUGCUUGGCAAAAAUAACAUUUUUACUUUCUACAGAAAGCCAAAGACAACUGUCAGUGGAAAAAAUGACAAUAUUCAAAAAGACAUGUUUCAUACACUAGUCGCUAGACAACUCAUAAUAUUGCAACUUUUCUCCAUGAUAAGUUUCUCCCCUUUGGGGAAAGAGAAUAACAGAAUAUCUCAUGAGAAGGGACCCAUAGUCAAGUCCAUCUCCCCACUUCUCACAGAACUACCUAAAACUAAACUACACAUGGCUAAGAGCAACAUCCAGAUGUUCCCUGAACUUUGAAAAGCUUGGUUCCAUGACCACUCCCCUGAAUAGCUGUUCCAGUGACUGCCCAGCCUGUGGUGAAGGACGUUUACCUAGUGUCCUAUCCAAACUUCCUCUGAUGCAGCUUCAUUACCUUUUCUCUUGUCCUAUCAGAGUUCAUCAGAGAAAAAAGAUCAGAACCUCCCCCUCUACUGUCCACUUUGAGGAAGUUGCAGUCUAUGAUGAAGUCAUCCCUCAGCCUUUUCUUCUUCAAACCAAACAAAACACAUGACUUCAGCUGGUUGCCCUCAAGACAAUGACAUUUUCCAUUUGACGAUUUUGUUUCCUUCUCAGUUCUUUUGUAAAAGUGGACCAGCUGCUUAUGUUCCUUUAGGAAUGUAGAAGAGAAAAUACUUUAAUCAUCGAAGUAUUUUUAUGUCCCUUGUUGGAGGAUUGACAAAGUGACUGUGUGGGACUUAGCUGGCUACCAGAGUUUAAUCACAACACACAUAAAUCAGCAAUGUCUUUGCAGAGACCCUACAGAGACAAAAGCUUGAGUCCCAAGCUGCAAGGAAUAUACUGCAAAUACAAAUCACACUGAAGGAAACAUCAGGGACCAAGACAAGGAAGACAGGGAAGGCAAGGAAGGCCUUCUGGCAGCAGGAGGAAAUCAUUCUCUACCUGCAUGUUUUCAGCUUCAGAAAAUAUAUAUUACACUAAGAAAAGUGAGAAGGAAGAGCGCUCAGAAUGGAUCACCUGUGUCUAUGAGAUUGAAGAAAGUGUCUGCAAGGAAUAUGGAGGCAAACAAUAGUGGCUGGAGAUUAUGUUCUUAAGGGAUGUGUCUAAUCAUUUGCCAAUCCAACUUGAUGUCCUAGGAGUUUUGCUGCUUGGUCAAAGCUCUUAUGAUGGGUGAUGAUAAGAGAUUGCUAAGGCAUUUCCAGUCCUCCAACUACUAGCUCUUACGAUUCACCAUGUGUCCUUGCAACAAAGGUCAGCAGCAUCCUGGGAUGUGUUAGCAAGGGUAUCGGCAGUAGGUCAAGGGGAAUGAUUCUUCAUCUCAGUCCAGCACUGGAGUAAAACAUUCAGUGCUGUGUUUCCUACUACAAACAAGACAUGGGUACACUGAAGUGAGUCCAGCAGAGACCACCUACAUGGUAAGGGAAAAAAAAAAGAGAUUCUAAGAUGGUCAGGCUGGAGACGAAAAAGGUGAUGGGAGAUCUUAUUGCUGUCUACAGCUAUGUAAUGCAAGGUUGUAAAAAUAAUAAAGCAGGACUCCUCUGAAUGAUUCAGUAGGACAGAAGCCAAAACACUUAAAAAUCUGUCUAGAUAUAAGACAAUACUUUUUUGUCAUGUGGGCGAUCUAGCCUACAAUCUUCCCAAGGGAAGCUGUGGAAAUGACACAUUUGGAGAUAUUCAAGGCUCCAAGCUGGAUGAGGCCCUGAAGACCUUUGUCUUACUGCACCACAUCUGAAGUAGGCUUUAGAAUCUACAACAUCAAGAUGCUCCUUCCAAUCAAAAUUAUUUGUGAUUCUGUGAUUCCAGAUUCUGCUUUCUUUAUAUAAGUGUAUAUAAAACUUAUGGCUAUUGCCCCCUAAAUAUAACUUACAUUGGUGAAUGCCUCUGUGAGGGUCUGGGUGGCAGGUCUAUUAACCAUUACAAUUAGGUUUUUUGACCCUUAGUACCCCCAAUAAAAUUUCCACAUAUCUUGUAAGAGGUAUGGUGUGGCUUCAAUACAGAAGUGAAAACUUACUCUUUUGAUGUGUUAUAGAUAAGAAUGGAUACAGAAUAAAUUCUGUAUUUAAAUUUAAA